GAAAAUCAUGCCCUGUCAGUUUAAAAUUUUGAAUGAUAAAAAGUAUGCUUUCAAGAUUUAGGUUAGUCAAUUCAAUAUUGACAACCACACUGAUGGGUAUGCUGUUCAUAAGCUGGUGAAUGAUCCAGCUAUUAUUGAAUCUUUGGAGAGACGAAUUCCAGCUGAUCAGGGUGUGGACGAGCCGGAUGCUGAUGUUUCACUUAGCGAUUUAUCAACUCAAAAUCCUUUUGCUCUAAAGGAGGCUGUGGAUUCUAUUGGGGAUAGCUUCACACCCGAUUGCACAUCUAAAGAUUGUUCAAAGACUU